CGAAAUGCGAUAAGUAGUGUGAAUUGCAGAAUUCAGUGAAUCAUCGAAUCUUUGAACGCACAUUGCGCCCCUUGGUAUUCCAUGGGGCAUGCCUGUUCGAGCGUCAUUUGUACCCUCAAGCUCUGCUUGGUGUUGGGUGUUUGUCCCCGUCUCCGCGCGUGGACUCGCCCCAAAGUGAUUGGCAGCCGGCGUACUGGUCCCGGAGCGCAGCACAUGUCGCGCAAACGAGUGCCUUGGUACGGCGGCGUCCAUAAGCCCCUCUCUCACGCUCUUGACCUCGGAUCAGGUAGGGAUACCCGCUGAACUUAAGC
rnacentral:misc_RNA from 1 species